rnacentral:rRNA from 1 species
GCUGGCGGCGUGCCUAAUACAUGCAAGUCGAGCGAACAGAUAAGGAGCUUGCUCCUUUGACGUUAGCGGCGGACGGGUGAGUAACACGUGGGUAACCUACCUAUAAGACUGGGAUAACUUCGGGAAACCGGAGCUAAUACCGGAUAACAUUUGGAACCGCAUGGUUCUAAAGUGAAAGAUGGUUUUGCUAUCACUUAUAGAUGGACCCGCGCCGUAUUAGCUAGUUGGUAAGGUAACGGCUUACCAAGGCGACGAUACGUAGCCGACCUGAGAGGGUGAUCGGCCACACUGGAACUGAGACACGGUCCAGACUCCUACGGGAGGCAGCAGUAGGGAAUCUUCCGCAAUGGGCG